CCAAAGGCUCUUUUCAGAGCCAUUAAACCCUAUCUUGUCAGUGAUC
rnacentral:ncRNA from 1 species